CCCCACAAAGCAGGCUCACGAAAUCAAAUCCAACACCAAAUCCAUUAAAACUUAAAUGUCUACAGAAAUCAAUUAACAAUAGGAAGGAUAACUAUUUCAUCCACUAUAGUUCUGAAAUCAAUAUAAAACUUGAAUUCAGAAGCAAGGGUUCAUACCUAUGGAAGCACAUCUAUAAGUAUAUUACAUUAUGAAAGCACAUCUAAUAAGUAAAUUACAUUAUGGAAGCACAUCUAUGGCUUUUUUCCUAUCUGCUGAACCCUAGAUGGGAUUCCAUAUAGAUUGGAAUGAAAAUGAAAAAAAGAAGCUAUACCUCUAGAACUAAACCCUAGAUGGGAUUCCAUAUAUACUGGAACUAAACA
rnacentral:lncRNA from 1 species